rnacentral:tRNA from 1 species
GGAGAGAUGGCUGAGUGGUCGAAAGCGGCCGCCUCGAAAGCGGUUAUUCCAUGAAUAAUGGAAUCGGGGGUUCGAAUCCCCCUCUCUCCU